GGCCGAGGUGCAUUAAGCUUCGCUCAGGGAGAAACAAUGCAUUUUAUCAUAGGGCCGGACAGCUACAUGCACAAGAUGCUACCUACAGGGAUUGGUUUUGGCCAGAUGUGCAGGAGAGAUGCAUAGAGAGGAAGAAAUGCAUACAUGCGUGCGGAUUUUGGCGUGUGCACAAGUAGCCUCGAGGAUUUUCUUUGGGUCUGCAGUCAAAAUGGAUUUCCAAGAGGAAGCUGUCCGAACACACAUCUCUUCCCUGUGCUACAUAUGGUCCCAUCUCCAACAGCCAGGUUUUCAGGAAAGUGAUCAGCACCUGCUUCAGCUCUGGCUCGGGAUCUUUGGCCAAUGUGAUGGGCAGAAAACUGGAAUGAGGGCAGAAAAGCACCUCGGAGGCUUGAAGAGUCAAGUCUCCCACCACCUUGCUAAUGGAGCCAGAGAGAAAUUUAUCUUGGAACUAAUGUUCACGAAGACCUUCCAGUUCAGACUCAAUACCGUUGCCAAGUCAGGGUGUUUGGGAGGACAGAGCUGUUCAUUACAACACCCCUCACCCUGGAACCCAGGUCUUGGAACUCCGGUCCAGGGCUCUUUGCUGACUGACGUCAGUCCUCAGACUUUGUUCAGAAACAACAGAGCCAUGAAGAGGGAGGCUGCAAGACUCGCUCUGUAUCCAGAGUUCGCCAUGACCGUCUUUAUGGGGCUCUUCCCAGAGUAACUCUGGUCUUCUCUGGGCUGUCAUGGAGCAUUUUGGUUUCACAUUCUCCUGGGCUUCCUGCUGCUCAUUCCUCAUAAGUCCAGCACUGUGCAGCCCAGGCCUGAGUCUACGUGCCUCCAGGGUGGCUGGACAACCUCUUUCAGGGUUUUGUUAAGAAGGUCAUCCUCUAUCUAAGACAGCAUGUGCCACAAUCCAGCCAUUUCCUUCCCAACAGAAUGAUUUUUGUCAUUUCUAUCAAUCACCUGAAACAUUAUUUAUUUACUAUUUUAAUUUAAACUGAAAAAAAAUUAAACUUUAUUUCUAAGGGGAAAUCUCUAUCACUGGAUAGCAUGGCUUGUCAUACGUAGAAAGCUACUGUAAAAUGAAGAUAAUAAAAACAGAACAAAGCAACGCAAUGAUAGCUAGGCAUUGCGGCUUGCAGAAGUGCUAAGACUAGCAAGUGUUGCAGAGGCAAUGAGCCAUCCUAGUAGUUCCCAAGACUUUCAGCUUGAUACUACCUGAAGGUCUGAUAAAAAAACUAGAGACACCUCCCUCUGCCUGGGGCUGGUGGUUCUGACCUAGCAGCUAUCAGAAGCACUGCCUUGUACAUGUCCUUCCUCCCUGACACUUAAGUGUCAUCUAUGCAGCUCUUGCAACCUCUUGAAGGUCUUCUACGGUCCUUGGCCUCUUGGGAAAUGCUCUUGGCCAGAGGGCUUGUCUUGCUCAGUGAUGGCCAGCUCAGCUACCCUGUGUCUCAGACCAGCCCAGGCCUUCAGCCAGCUCCUGGGGCAACUUUGAGAGCUUUCCAAAGAAAGAGUCUAUAAGGGCUAGGCAUGGUGGCUCAGGCCUGUAAUCCCAACACUUUGGGGACCCAAAGUGGGUGGAUCACCUGAGGCCAGCUUGGCCAACAUUGUGAAACCCCCGUCUCUACUAAAAAUACAAAAAAAAAAAAAAAAAAAUUAGCCAGGCAUGGUGGUGGGCACCUGUAAUCCCAGAUACUUGGGAGGCUGAGGCAGGAGAAACGCUUGAACCCUAGAGGCAGAGGCUGCAGUGAGCCAAGAUCGCACCACUGCGCACUCAGGCCUGGGCAACAAGAGUGAAACUCUGAAGAAACAAACAAACAAAAAAAGCAAGGGUCUAUGAAAAGGUGGCGUUAGCACUAAUGAUAGUAUUGCACUUGAGA
rnacentral:lncRNA from 1 species